rnacentral:piRNA from 1 species
AUUUCAGCUUUGGGUGCUGACGG